rnacentral:rRNA from 1 species
GACGAACGCUGGCGGCGUGCCUAAUACAUGCAAGUCGAGCGAAUCGAUGGGAGCUUGCUCCCUGAGAUUAGCGGCGGACGGGUGAGUAACACGUGGGUAACCUGCCUGUAAGACUGGGAUAACUUCGGGAAACCGGAGCUAAUACCGGAUACUUUCUUUUCUCGCAUGAGGGAAGAUGGAAAGAUGGUUCUGCUAUCACUUGCAGAUGGACCCGCGGCGCAUUAGCUAGUUGGUGAGGUAACGGCUCACCAAGGCAACGAUGCGUAGCCGACCUGAGAGGGUGAUCGGCCACCCUGGGACUGAGACACGGCCCAGACUCCUACGGGAGGCAGCAGUAGGGAAUCUUCCGCAAUGGACGAAAGUCUGACGGAGCAACGCCGCGUGAGCGAAGAAGGCCUUCGGGUCGUAAAGCUCUGUUGUUAGGGAAGAACAAGUACGAGAGUAACUGCUCGUACCUUGACGGUACCUAACCAGAAAGCCACGGCUAACUACGUGCCAGCCGCCGCGGUAAGAC